rnacentral:rRNA from 1 species
GCUUGUCUCAAAGAUUAAGCCAUGCAUGUCUAAGUAUAAAUAACUACACAGUAAAACUGCGAAUGGCUCAUUAAAACAGUUAUAGUUUAUUUGAUAUAGCAAAUGGAUAACUGUAGAAAAACUAGAGCUAAUACAUGCCCCACAACCGUAAGGUUGUAUUUAUUAGAUAUUCCUGUUUGGUGAUUCAUAUUAACUUAGCGAACCGAGACUUGCUCUCGGUAAAUCAUUCAAGUUUCUGCCCUAUCAUGCUUUCGAUGGUAGUGUAUUGGACUACCAUGGCUCUCACGGGUAACGGAGAAUUAGGGUUCGAUUCCGGAGAAGGAGCCUGAGAAACGGCUACUACAUCUAAGGAAGGCAGCAGG